rnacentral:rRNA from 1 species
GACGAACGCUGGCGGCGUGCUUAACACAUGCAAGUCGAACGGAAAGGCCUCUUUCGGGGGGUACUCGAGUGGCGAACGGGUGAGUAACACGUGAGUAACCUGCCCUUGACUUUGGGAUAACUUCAGGAAACUGGGGCUAAUACCGGAUAGGAGCUCCUGCUGCAUAGUGGGGGUUGGAAAGUUUCGGCGGUUGGGGAUGGACUCGCGGCUUAUCAGCUUGUUGGUGGGGUAGUGGCUUACCAAGGCUUUGACGGGUAGCCGGCCUGAGAGGGUGACCGGCCACAUUGGGACUGAGAUACGGCCCAGACUCCUACGGGAGGCAGCAGUGGGGAAUAUUGCACAAUGGGUGGAAGCCUGAUGCAGCAACGCCGUGUGCGGGAUGACGGCCUUCGGGUUGUAAACCGCUUUCGCUCAUGACGAAGCUUUGUGUGACGGUAGUGGGUAAAGAAGCACCGGCUAACUACGUG